UACGGGGGGGGCAAGCGUUGUUCGGAAUUACUGGGCGUAAAGGGCUGGUAGGCGGCCAACUAAGUCGGAUGUGAAAUCCCCAGGCUUAACUGGGAAACUGCAUCGGAAACUGACCGGCUUGAAGGUGGGAGAGGGUAGUGGAAUUCCCGGUGUAGUGGUGAAAUGCGUAGAUAUCGGGAGGAACACCAGUGGCGAAGGCGACUACCUGGCCCAUUCUUGACGCUGAGGCGCGAAAGCUAGGGGAGCGAACGGG
rnacentral:rRNA from 1 species